rnacentral:rRNA from 1 species
CCUACGGGUGGCAGCAGUGAGGAAUAUUGGUCAAUGGACGAGAGUCUGAACCAGCCAAGUAGCGUGAAGGAUGACUGCCCUAUGGGUUGUAAACUUCUUUUAUAUGGGAAUAAAAUGUUCCACGUGUGGGAUUUUGUAUGUACCAUAUGAAUAAGGAUCGGCUAACUCCGUGCCAGCAGCCGCGGUAAUACGGAGGAUACGAGCGUUAUCCGGAUUUAUUGGGUUUAAAGGGAGCGUAGGUGGAUUGUUAAGUCAGUUGUGAAAGUAUGCGGCUCAACCGUAAGAUUGCAGUUGAAACUGGCAGUCUUGAGUACAGUAGAGGUGGGCGGAAUUCGUGGUGUAGCGGUGAAAUGCUUAGAUAUCACGAAGAACUCCGAUUGCGAAGGCAGUUCACUGGACUGCAACUGACACUGAGGCUCGAAAGUGUGGGUAUCAAACAGGAUUAGAUACCCCUGUAGUC